rnacentral:rRNA from 1 species
UUGGGAAUAUUGGACAAUGGGGGAAACCCUGAUCCAGCAAUGCCGCGUGGGUGAUGAAGGCCUUCGGGUUGUAAAGCCCUUUUGGCGGGGACGAUGAUGACGGUACCCGCAGAAUAAGCCCCGGCUAACUUCGUGCCAGCAGCCGCGGUAAUACGAAGGGGGCUAGCGUUGUUCGGAAUUACUGGGCGUAAAGGGCGCGUAGGCGGCCGUGCAAGUCAGAUGUGAAAGCCCUGGGCUCAACCCAGGAGGUGCAUUUGAUACUGCAUGGCUAGAGUGUCGGAGAGGAUGGUGGAAUUCCCAGUGUAGAGGUGAAAUUCGUAGAUAUUGGGAAGAACACCGGUGGCGAAGGCGACCAUCUGGACGACAACUGACGCUGAGGCGCGAAAGCGUAGGGAGCAAACAGGAUUAGAUACCCUGGUAGUCCACGCCGUAAACUAUGCGUGUUGGACGUUGGCGAGCCUAGCUCGUCGGUGUCGCAGCUAACGCGUUAAACACGCCGCCUGGGGAGUACGGCCGCAAGGUUA